rnacentral:rRNA from 1 species
UACGGGGGGGGCAAGCGUUGUUCGGAAUUACUGGGCGUAAAGGGCUCGUAGGGGGACAACUAAGUCAGACGUGAAAUCCCUCGGCUUAACCGGGGAACUGCGUCUGAUACUGGAUGGCUUGAGUUUGGGAGAGGGACGCGGAAUUCCAGGUGUAGCGGUGAAAUGCGUAGAUAUCUGGAGGAACACCGGUGGCGAAGGCGGCGUCCUGGACCAACACUGACACUGAUGAGCGAAAGCCAGGGGAGCAAACGGG